rnacentral:rRNA from 1 species
AUUGAACGCUGGCGGCAGGCUUUACACAUGCAAGUCGAACGGUAACAGGCCUUCGGCUGCUGACUACAGGGGAAGGGGGGAGUAAUAUGCCUAAACGUAUCCAUGGUAGGGGGGUAACGCGGCGAAAGACGUGCUAAUAUCCCGCGUGAGCUGUGGGUGAAAGCGGGGGAGCGCGCCGCAAUGUUUGCCCUCGCGUCUUUCUAGGUGCCUAUGUCGGAUUAGCUAGUUGGUGGGGUAAAGGCCUACCAAGGCGACGAUCCGUAGCUGGUCUGAGAGGACGACCAGUCACACUGGAACUGAGACACGGUCCAGACUCCUACGGGAGGCAGCAGUGGGGAAUUUUGGACAAUGGGCGCAAACCUGAUCCAGCCAUGCCGCGUGCGGGAAGAAGGCCUUCGGAUUGUAAACCGCUUUUGGCAGGAAGGAAGCGGUGUACGCUAAUACCGGGCGGUAAUGACGGUACCUGCAGAAUAAGCACCGGCUAACUACGUG